UACAGAGGGUGCGAGCGUUAAUCGGAAUUACUGGGCGUAAAGCGCGCGUAGGCGGCUUUGCAAGUCGGGUGUGAAAUCCCCAGGCUUAACCUGGGAACUGCAUUCGAGACUGCAUUGCUAGAGUAUGGGAGAGGGAAGUGGAAUUUCCGGUGUAGCGGUGAAAUGCGUAGAUAUCGGAAGGAACAUCAGUGGCGAAAGCGACUUCCUGGACCAAUACUGACGCUCAUGUGCGAAAGCGUGGGGAGCAAAC
rnacentral:rRNA from 3 species